rnacentral:rRNA from 1 species
GUGUCAGCAGCCGCGGUAAUACAGAGGUCCCGAGCGUUGUUCGGAUUUAUUGGGCGUAAAGGGUGCGUAGGCGGCGGAGUAAGUUGGGUGUGAAAUCCCGGGGCUCAACCUCGGAAUUGCAUUCAAUACUGCUUCGCUCGAGUACUGGAGAGGAGGCUGGAAUUUACGGUGUAGCAGUGAAAUGCGUAGAUAUCGUAAGGAAGGCCGGUGGCGAAAGCGAGCCUCUGGACAGUUACUGACGCUGAUGCACGAAGGCCAGGGGAGCAAACGGGAUUAGAUACCCCGGUAGUCCUGGCAGUAAACGGUGCGCGUUUGGUGUGGGGGGAUUCGACAAUCUCCGCGCCGGAGCUAACGCGUUAAACGCGCCGCCUGGGAAAUACGGUCGCAAGAUUAAA